UCACGACUGCUUUUUUUUUCGGUAUGUUUCGUUUUAAAAAACCAAUAAUUUUCUUCAAUAAGCAAACAAAGCGUCUUAAAAGUGAAUAGAAAAGUUUAGGUGACCACUUUGAAAAUUGACAUGCACUUUUUAUGAUAAAUUAUCCAUAAAAAAAUAAUUUUACAAAUUUCGAGUUUCUAGGUUGGUAGUCCCGCAAAAUUAAUUGUCAAAAAAGAUAUAUUAAGAGUCGG